GGGCACGUAGCUCAGCCCGGAUAGAGCGUCGGACUUCUAACUGCGCCGGACGUUCCGGUGUGGGAAGACAUCCGACGGUCGUGGGUUCGAAUCCCACCGUGCCCG
rnacentral:tRNA from 1 species